rnacentral:rRNA from 1 species
UACGUAGGGGGCAAGCGUUGUUCGGAUUCAUUGGGCGUAAAGGGUGCGUAGGCGGCGCGGUAAGUCGGGUGUGAAAUCUUGGAGCUUAACUCCGAAACUGCAUUCGAUACUGCCGUGCUUGAGGACUGGAGAGGAGACUGGAAUUUACGGUGUAGCGGUGAAAUGCGUAGAUAUCGUAAGGAAGACCAGUGGCGAAGGCGGGUCUCUGGACAGUUCCUGACGCUGAAGCACGAAGGCCAGGGGAGCAAACGGG